AGUGAGGUAAGCUGCCGAAGCUCUAUAACCGGCCUCUUCUCGCUUUCCGUUUAUCAAUGGCAGCAGCUGAAUCAGGACUUAAAGGAGUGCCCUCGAUGAGAACAUCGAAACAGGAGCCUUUUAACGUUUAGCAUUACGCACGUUUACGGCGAAAAAGAGACGCUUCAAAUCCUUUCUGUCUGUGCUCCAUUUGCUAUGUAAUAUUUGGCUGCUGGGGUCAAAUUGACUGUUCUGGCUGAACCAGGAGAGAACUGAGAAUGCUGGUGGCACAGCCAGUCAGUGGUGGGUCAAGUGCCAGUGCGGGCGGGCAGUUAGCUGCCUGAUCAGUAGUUUGCAUACUCCCAGAUGCCCAGGGAAAGCUGCAGAUCGCAGAUCAAGAUAGCGCGGCUGCCGGCGACUCGAGGUGCGGUCAACAUCCUGCCCCCAUUAAAGGGCACAUCCAGUGUAACCUGAUCUGAUUGGAUCUGAUGGUGGAGACGAGGCUGGAUUCAUCUUCGCUGAUAGUGAUCUUAGGGAUUAGAGGGCUUGUGCAGUGAGAAGGCCCUUCUCUCCCCUGCUCACAUGUCAUCCUUGGCAUCUAUGGUCCACCUACUUAAUUAUACCCGCACAGGUCUCUAGAGUAGAGCAGCAUUUAGGGAUAAAUGUGAUCUUGCCACCUUUAGUACUGUUGGGGAAGUUGUGCAGAAACACAGGGUGAUCGAUGAAUGUCGCAUCAAGAACCUUCUGAUUGCCUAUGAAGAACGAUACUAGAAUUCAACCUCCGCCUCCUGUCUUGUCCGAAAUUCCAAGGUUCUUCGAUGCUGGCAUUCAUUACAAUUACUCAACAUUUUUUUUGUCUUGCGUAAACCAUACUCAGACCUUCAGUAAGGUUUAUAUGACCUGCACUUUUUUAAAGAAUGGUGUUUUUUCAUUUUAUAUAUAAUAUGACAUCUAUAUAAAUCACACCUUUAUUUCUUUUGUGUGUAUGUGUGUGUAUAUAUGUGUAUGUGUGUAUAUAUAUGUAUGUGUGUAUGUGUAUAUAUGUAUGUGUAUGUAUAUAUGUAUGUAUAAUGAUGAUUUAAGUUUUCCUCCCAGCAUAAAUUUUUUAACAACAAUUAUUACCUUUGAAUGUUCAGAAAGGAUGGAGGAGUAUUUAACAUGUAAAUUUCUUUGAAAUGUCACCUCUUGAGACGACGAUUGGGUGCCUCUUAUUUUUUGCCGAUCGGGAAAAUCACGAGACUGGAAAAUGACACGUUAAGCUUCACAUGGGAUUAAGCGACCGUGAAAUUGUGCCGGGAUGUGUACGACUUAAUUUUUUGUUUGUUUAAAACAAAGAAUGAGCUGUUAUUACUUUGAACAGAAAACAAUGGAAGGCGACUCGUUAAUGGCUGUCAUAAAUAAAACCGUAUCAUCAUGUGAUGUGAUGAUUCUUACCCAUCA